UGCAUUCAGCUGACUGGUACUAAUUGCCCGAUUGGCUUGAUUUGAUCCGG
rnacentral:rRNA from 1 species